rnacentral:rRNA from 1 species
CCUACGGGUGGCAGCAGUGGGGAAUUUUGGGCAAUGGGCGCAAGCCUGACCCAGCAACGCCGCGUGAGGGAUGGAGGUCUUCGGAUCGUAAACCUCUGUCAGCAGGGAAGAACGGUCACUGUGCUAAUCAGCAGUGAAUUGACGGUACCUGCAAAGGAAGCACCGGCUCACUCCGUGCCAGCAGCCGCGGUAAUACGGAGGGUGCGAGCGUUAAUCGGAAUUACUGGGCGUAAAGCGUUCGUAGGCGGUAGGUCAAGUCACGGGUGAAAUCCCCGCGCUCAACGUGGGAACGGCUUUUGAAACUGGCAAACUGGAGUGUUGGAGAGGGUAGUGGAAU